rnacentral:rRNA from 1 species
UACAGAGGGUGCAAGCGUUGCUCGGAAUCAUUGGGCGUAAAGGGCAAGUAGGUGGUCUUAUUUGUCUCGUGUGAAAUCCUUGGGCUUAACCCAAGAAGUGCGCGAGAAACGGUGAGACUAGAGUUCUGGAGAGGGUCGUGGAAUUCCCGGUGUAGCGGUGAAAUGCGUAGAGAUCGGGAGGAACACCAGAGGCGAAGGCGGCGACCUGGACAGACACUGACACUCAACUGCGAAAGCGUGGGGAGCAAACGGG